UCUGGUUGAUCCUGCCAGUAGUUAUAUGCUUGUCUCAAAGAUUAAGCCAUGCAUGUCUAAGUACACACGAAUUAAAAGUGAAACCGCAAAAGGCUCAUUAUAUCAGUUAUGGUUCCUUAGAUCGUUAACAGUUACUUGGAUAACUGUGGUAAUUCUAGAGCUAAUACAUGCAAUUAAAACACGGACCUUAUGGGACGUGUGCUUUUAUUAGGCUAAAACCAAGCGAUCGCAAGAUCGUUACAUUGGUUGAACUCUAGAUAACAUGCAGAUCGUAUGGUCUUGUACCGACGACAGAUCUUUCAAAUGUCUGCCCUAUCAACUUUUGAUGGUAGUAUCUAGGACUACCAUGGUUGCAACGGGUAACGGGGAAUCAGGGUUCGAUUCCGGAGAGGGAGCCUGAGAAACGGCUACCACAACUAAGGAAGGCAGCAGGCGCGUAAAUUACCCACUCCCAGCUCGGGGAGGUAGUGACGAAAAAUAACAAUACAGGACUCAUAUCCGAGGCCCUGUAAUUGGAAUGAGUACACUUUAAAUCCUUUAACAAGGACCAAUUGGAGGGCAAGUCUGGUGCCAGCAGCCGCGGUAAUUCCAGCUCCAAUAGCGUAUAUUAAAGUUGUUGCGGUUAAAACGUUCGUAGUUGAACUUGUGCUUCAUACGGGUAGUACAACUUACAAUUGUGGUUAGUACUAUACCUUUAUGUAUGUAAGCGUAUUACCGGUGGAGUUCUUAUAUAUAAUUAAGUACUUGUAUUUUUUUAUAUAUUCCUCCUAUUUAAAAACCUGCAUUAGUGCUCUUCAUCGAGUGUUAUUGUGGGCCGGUACAAUUACUUUGAACAAAUUAGAGUGCUUAAAGCAGGCUUCAAUAGGCCUGAAUAUUCUGUGCAUGGGAUAAUGAAAUAAGACCUCUGUUCUGCUUUCAUUGGUUUUCAGAUCAAGAGGUAAUGAUUAAUAGAAGCAGUUUGGGGGCAUUAGUAUUACGACGCGAGAGGUGAAAUUCUUGGACCGUCGUAAGACUAACUUAAGUGAAAGCAUUUGCCAAAAUGUUUUCAUUAAUCAAGAACGAAAGUUAGAGGUUCGAAGGCGAUCAGAUACCGCCCUAGUUCUAACCAUAAACGAUGCCAGCUAGCAAUUGGGUGUAGCUACUUUUAUGGCUCUCUCAGUCGCUUCCCGGGAAACCAAAGCUUUUGGGCUCCGGGGGAAGUAUGGUUGCAAAGCUGAAACUUAAAGGAAUUGACGGAAGGGCACCACCAGGAGUGGAGCCUGCGGCUUAAUUUGACUCAACACAGGAAAACUUACCAGGUCCGCACCUAAGUGUGUAAGACAGAUUGAUAGCUCUUUCUCGAAUCUAUGGGUGGUGGUGCAUGGCCGUUCUUAGGAAACGCAUUAUCUCUCAUUGUUGUAUAUAUUUGUGUGAGAACAACGAAGAAAAAUAUAUAUUUUUUUGUCCUUUUUGAAUCAAAUAAUACUGAGGAAUGUCUAGCAUAAAAAAAUAAUUAAAGUUUUUUCAUCCAGAAUUGCCUCUUAUUAAUGUUUCGAAAGGAAAUUUUGUUGUAAAUAUAAAUAUUUAAUAUUCUUCUUGAUAUUCGUUAUAAAAUACGAAUAUUAUAAUGAUUUCAUUAUGAGAACGCUCUAUAUAUAAUAAUAUAGUGUAAUUAUCAUUAUAAAUUUUAAUAUACGUAUAUACAACCUCAACUCAUAUGGGACUACCCCCUGAAUUUAAGCAUAUUAAUUAGGGGAGGAAAAGAAACUAACCAGGAUUUUCUUAGUAGCGGCGAGCGAAAAGAAAUCAG
rnacentral:rRNA from 1 species